rnacentral:rRNA from 1 species
AGUGAAUAGAUACCCAGGUAGUCCACGCCCUAAACGAUGAUCACUGGGUGUUGGGGAAGCGAUUCCUUGGUACCGUAGCUAAACGCGUGAAGUGAUCCGCCUGGGGAGUACGGUCGCAAGAUUAAAACUCAAAGGAAUUGACGGGGACCCGCACAAGCGGUGGAUGAUGUGGAUUAAUUCGAUGCAACGCGAACAACCUUACCUACCCUUGACAUGUCCGGAACCCUGCUGAGAGGUGGGGGUGCCCGAAAGGGAAUCGGAACACAGGUGCUGCAUGGCUGUCGUCAGCUCGUGUCGUGAGAUGUUGGGUUAAGUCCCGCAACGAGCGCAACCCUUGUCCCUAGUUGCUACGCAAGGGCACUCUAGGGAGACUGCCGGUGACAAACCGGAGGAAGGUGGGGAUGACGUCAAGUCCUCAUGGCCCUUAUGGGUAGGGCUUCACACGUCAUACAAUGGGCGGUACAGAGGGUUGCCAACCCGCGAGGGGGUAGCCAAUCCCAGAAAGCCGUUCGUAGUCCGGAUCGCAGUCUGCAACUCGACUGCGUGAA